CACACACAGACACAAUUUCAAUGUUUGGUUACUUUUGUUCCAUUCUAUACUCACAUUAACAAAACAGUGAGUUAUAUUGUAACAGGGUGAUAACAGAAUAUGUGCAUGUUAGCUUAUUACGUAUUCACAGUAAUUCCGUCUAUACACCCUUGAAUUCCGUCUACACCCUGGAUUUGCGUCAAUUGCGUGUGUCGAAGUAAUUUGAUUGCAGGGCUCUUUGUAUUCGUACGUGAUAAUCAUCCAGUACGUAAUAAUCAUCCAAUACGCGCCGCUAGUGUGCACACCCCACCCAAAAGCAGACGUGAUUUUCGAAAUAAAGUAAAGCGAUACCACUAUAUAUAUCAAUACAAUAUAAACCUAUUGUCCGGUCAAACGUCAUAUGGUGGUCUACGUCAUCAAUACUUCAUGUCAUCAAUAAUAUUAAAUCGUAUCCGGUUUGACUUUAUAUGUUCAAUAUAGAGUUUUUAGAACAUUAUUUAUGGACAAGAUACUUUAGCGAUGCGAGUGUGCGAUAAGAGUGUGGGAAUUUUCAGGAAGGUCUAAGUCUUGCCAUUUAGGGAAAGAUCAGAAGAGGGCAAAUUGCUAAAUUAAGUCUAUUAUACAUGUUUCUUAAAUUAACUCAUGAUAUAAACCGCGUCCAAUACUUCAAAAACAUGUGUUUUGAAGUAUGCGACGCAGGCUACUCAUGAUAUAUUGCUAAGGCCUUUUCGAAUAGGGGGGGGGGG